rnacentral:rRNA from 1 species
UCCGGUUGAUCCUGCCGGACCCGACUGCUAUCAGAGUGGGACUAGCCAUGCGAGUCAACAUAGCAAUAUGUGGCAUACGGCUCAGUAACACGUAGUCAACAUGCCCAGGGGACGUGGAUAACCUCGGGAAACUGAGGAUAAACCGCGAUAAGUCACCGCUUCUGGAAUGGGCAAUGGCUUAAAUCUAUAUGGCCCCUGGAUUGGACUGCGGCCGAUCAGGCUGUUGGUGAGGUAAUGGCCCACCAAACCUGUAACCGGUACGGGCUCUGAGAGGAGGAGCCCGGAGAUGGGCACUGAGACAAGGGCCCAGGCCCUAUGGGGCGCAGCAGGCGCGAAACCUCUGCAAUAGGCGAAAGCCUGACAGGGUUACUCUGAGUGAUUUCCGUUAAGGAGAUCUUUUGGCACCUCUAAAAAUGGUGCAGAAUAAGGGGUGGGCAAGUCUGGUGUCAGCCGCCGCGGUAAUACCAGCACCCCGAGUGGUCGGGACGUUUAUUGGGCCUAAAGCAUCCGUAGCCGGUUCUGCAAGUCUUCCGUUAAAUCCACCUGCUUAACAGAUGGGCUGCGGAAGAUACUAUAGAGCUAGGAGGCGGGAGAGGCAAGCGGUACUCGAUGGGUAGGGGUAAAAUCCGUUGAUCCAUUGAAGACCACCAGUGGCGAAGGCGGCUUGCCAGAACGCGCUCGACGGUGAGGGAUGAAAGCUGGGGGAGCAAACCGGAUUAGAUACCCGGGUAGUCCCAGCUGUAAACGAUGCAGACUCGGUGAUGAAUUGGCUUUAUGCCGAUUCAGUGCCGCAGGGAAGCCGUUAAGUUUGCCGCCUGGGGAGUACGGUCGCAAGACUGAAACUUAAAGGAAUUGGCGGGGGAGCACCACAAGGGGUGAAGCCUGCGGUUCAAUUGGACAACGCCGGAAAUCUUACCGGGGGCGACAGCAGAAUGAAGGUCAAGCUGAAGACUUUACCAGACAAGCUGAGAGGGGGUGCAUGGCCGUCGCCAGCUCGUGCCGUGAGGUGUCCUGUUAAGUCAGGUAACGAGCGAGACCCCUGCCUCUAGUUGCUACCAUUAUUCUCAGGAGUAGUGGAGCUAAUUAGAGGGACUGCCGUCGCUGAGACGGAGGAAGGAGGGGGCUACGGCAGGUCAGUAUGCCCCGAAACCCUCGGGCCACACGCGGGCUGCAAUGGUAAGGACAAUGAGUAUCGAUUCCGAAAGGAGGAGGCAAUCUCUAAACCUUACCACAGUUAUGAUUGAGGGCUGAAACUCGCCCUCAUGAAUAUGGAAUCCCUAGUAACCGCGUGUCACUAUCGCGCGGUGAAUACGUCCCUGCUCCUUGCACACACCGCCCGUCGCUUCAUCGAAGUUGGUUCUUGGCGAGGUGAUGCCUAAUUGGUACUAUCGAACCUGGGGUCAGCAACGAGGGAG